ACGGGUGAGUAACGCGUGAGUAACCUGCCUUCAAGAGGGGGAUAACAUUCUGAAAAGAAUGCUAAUACCGCAUGACAUAUCGGAACCACAUGGUUUUGAUAUCAAAGAUUUUACCGCUUGAAGAUGGACUCGCGUCCGAUUAGUUAGUUGGUGAGGUAACGGCUCACCAAGACCGCGAUCGGUAGCCGGACUGAGAGGUUGAACGGCCACAUUGGGACUGAGACACGGCCCAGACUCCUACGGGAGGCAGCAUG
rnacentral:rRNA from 1 species